GGCAGGAUGUGUGCGGGGUGCCCAGUGUCUGCUGAACCUGCUGCGCCGGGUCUGGGAGGUCAUCAGGGACCUCUGGGGGGGGCACGGAGUGACCCCCCCGCCCCCCCCCGCUGGGAGGAGGACGCUGGUUCCCGGCAAAGAGGACUGAGACCCCCGGGACCCCCCCCGGGUGAAUAAACCGCCCUGACCCC